CGCCUCCUCCUCCUCAGUGUUUACUUUCAGACGCUGUAUGGAGGAUAACCGCUCCAACGUCCUCUGGAGGAAAGACGCUUGAGAAAGACCAGUGACCACCGAAGAACAGGACGAGUUAUCCUCCAUUAUGGACAGCAUUUCUCUCUCCUCUUCAUCCAGGACAUCGUCCAGAGGCGAUGUGCAUGCAGAGGCUCUCCGUAGGCUACAACCUGAAUGACUCCUCCCACAGACUGUUUGCCCCUCUGCAAUUAAGCAGAAGAUUUCACAUCACCAGGACCAGCUCUGCGAGGUUCUGCAACAGUAGCCUACUUUUACAGAUGAAACAUUUGAAAUGCAGAACUACUUUUAAUAGAAGAUAUUUUUUUACAUUGUGGAAUUAAUACUUUUAUGUUCUUCAACAACUAGUAUUCCGUAAUGUAACCAGGGUUUAAAAUUAACUUUUUCGUCCACCAGCCAAAUGGCUAGUAAAUGCUCAAAUUAUACCAGCCACUCAGUAGAGUACCAUUGCUUUUUUUUGGCUGGUGAGUGAAGCAAAUCUGCCAGCCACUUGCAUAUUUUACCAGCAUUUGGCUGGUAGAUGGAACCCUGAAUGUAACUAGUAUAUGCAAAUGUUUAGUAAAUGCAAACUACUACAUGCAAAACUCAAAUGUUAGUGUUUUUGUUUAUUACACAAUAUACCUUUCAAACUAUUACAGCAGGUGUUCUUGAUGACAGCUGGAGGAGCAGUAACAUCAAAUAGACAUAGACAGUAGAAUAAAGUGAAUUUAUUGCUACAAUAAAUCUAUCUAAUCAGUGUA